rnacentral:rRNA from 1 species
AGGACGAACGCUUGCGACGUGCCUAAGAAAUGCAAGUCGAACGGACAGUAGCAAUACUGUUAGUGGCGAACGGUCGCGUAACACGUGGGCAACCUGCCCUGAAGCGGGGGACAACAACUUGAAAGAGUUGCUAAUACCGCAUGUGAAUUGCCUUGGCAUCAAGGCGUAUUCAAAGCCGCAAGGCACUUCAGGAUGGGCCCGCGGCCUAUCAGCUAGUUGGUGAGGUAACGGCCCACCAAGGCUUCGACGGGUAGCUGGUCUGAGAGGACGAUCAGCCGGAUUGGGACUGAGAUACGGCCCAGACUCCUACGGGGGGCAGCAAUUAGGAAUCUUGCGCAAUGGGCGAAAGCCUGACGCAGCGACGUCGCGUGAAGGAUGAAAUCUUUCGGGAUGUAAACUUCUUUUACCAGGGAAGAAUAAUGACGGUACCUGGUGUAAUAAGCCCCGGCUAACUACGUGCCAGCAGCCGC